rnacentral:lncRNA from 1 species
GACUUUUGAGAGGGUUUAAGAGGUAAUAGAAAGUAAGUAAUUUAAACCAAAUCUAUUUUCUCUUCUCAUUUAGCUGCGUAAUUCAAACAAAAGCUGUCUAGGUGGGUAUCAUGAAUGUUCUGAGUGAUUUGACCUCUGGUCCACAUCCUACUAUGUGUAUAAUUUUUAAAAUUGCUUACUAAAAAUGGCUGUUUAUCACUUCUUUGCAAGUGCGCAAUACAAUUUUACUUCAGAACAUUUUCAAGUUUUAAUAAGGAUUUAAUAACCUCUGAUUUAGAGGCAACCAGAGCAAAGUUGUUGAAUUUAAUAGAGACUAACAUAUGGGAAGGGUUUUAAAGAGCCAUUCACAUCCAAACCCCAAAAUGGCUUCAAUCAGCAGGUAUCUUGAUGUUUAUUUAAUGAAGAAAUGUAUGAGCAGCUGCUGUUUCCCAAUUUCAGAUGUAGUUAUCUUUCAUUGCUUUGCAACAAAUCAGGAAGAACAGAUUUUAGCUGUAAUUUGGGAUCAUUCCAUUAGAUAUGCAGGGCUACACCAGCAGAUUCAUAAACAAAAACAAUGAGGCUGGUUUAAGGAAUAAAAUAUAAUAACUCUUGGGAUGGAAUCUGUGGGUUGUGUUUUCAGAUCUAUUGCUAGUUUCUAGGUCAUAAAUAUUUUCAAGUUUAGACUAAGCCCUAAAGGCCUUUAUAGAUAAAUAAAAACCCAAUCUGACACUGAUUCUUAACUGACCUUGUGGUAUUAUUGCAGAUGAAGGCAUGAGGUUAAUUUCUGUUACCCAGUGCAUGGUGGGCAUUGCCAACACCAUAAUGUCCCUCUAACUAUGACAAGGAAAAGUGUCAUAGACAAAUGGGGCUAUGAUAUGGCCCAGAGGGUUUAUGGGGCAAUUGCUCGCAGGACAGAUAUUCAUAGCAGGUAUAUCGAGCUGCAGAUGCACUGUUUAUUUGAUUCCUACUUAAAAAUUUGAGGCUUGUGUGUGU